GUGCACCAGGCGCGAAUUUUUCACAAUGGGGGAAACCCUGAUGGAGCGACGCCGCGUGGAGGAUGAAGGCCCUCGGGUCGUAAACUCCUGUCAUGCGGGAACAAGAAAGUGAUAGUACCGCAAGAGGAAGAGACGGCUAACUCUGUGCCAGCAGCCGCGGUAAUACAGAGGUCUCAAGCGUUAUUCGGAUUCAUUGAGCGUAAAGGGUGCGUAGGUGGCGAUGUAAGUCUGGUGUGAAAUCUCGGAGCUUAACUCCGAAACUGCAUUGGAUACUGCGUUGCUUGAGGAUUGUAGAGGAGAGUGGAAUUCACGGUGUAGCAGUGAAAUGCGUAGAUAUCGUGAGGAAGACCAGUUGCGAAGGCGACUCUCUGGGCAAUUCCUGACACUGAGGCACGAAGGCCAGGGAGCAAACGGGAUUAAGAUACCCG
rnacentral:rRNA from 1 species